rnacentral:lncRNA from 1 species
GUCUAUUGACCUUUUUUUGAGAAACUUCCAUUUGGAGACUAUGGAGAGGUCAAGAUUUCUCUCACUUGCUAAUGGUGCUUCCUUAUCCUCUCACAUUCUUCCCUCUACAAAUAAGUCAAAGCAUGUAUUAUUCAUUAUCUUAAAAGAAGAGGCUCAAAAUAGAACAUUGGCAGAACUAGGGUAGAUUAGAUUUUAUCAUUAUCCCUUUGCCAUUCAUCUGCUUCUCAGGCACAGUCCCUUGCCUGCAGGGUGUAUUUGUGCCCCAUCCCCACCCCAUCAUUACAGGUUUUUUUUUGUUUGUACCUGGGAUCGAACUCGGAUCCUUGCACUUGUGAAGCAGGCAGCAGAACCACUGAGCUAAAUCCCUGGCCUGGGAAUACACAUUUAAAUGAGAUAUAACCUGAUGAUAGCUAACAAGGAAUAAUGAUAAUGAUCUUUCCCAAGGAGAGCUGCUCAUUUGCUUACUCAUUGUAAGUCAGAGAAACUUGAGAGGUGACCCAUUACUUAAUAAUGACUAUGGCCCCAAAGGUGGUUCUGUUAGAUCUAUGCGAAUGUGGAUUGAUUAGUGAAUUUUGGUUUAUUUUGUCAAUAAAAUCCUGAACCACUGCAAUAUUUGUUUUUCCCACUUUGAGGUAGAACUAAUGAAGUUCUUGAACUCUAACUAGAAAUUUGAAGCAAAAACCCAUAUAUGAGAAUAAAUGUAAAAGAAGGGAUGAAUUCCAAAUGGUAUUAUUCCCUAUGUAAUUUCACAAAAGAAAGUGAAGUCCAGUAAUUUUCCAGUCACUCUGACCAGAGGAGAUGGGUAUGCUGUGAUUAUUCAGAUAAAAACCAAAACAAACACAAACACCCUAGAAGGCUAUAAUGAUAACCUAGUUGGCCCUACCCAUAUAAUAAAGUAACAGGCUAGAUAUCAGAUUCCCACUUUACAAGAAAUAGAGAAUGGACGGAUUAGAGAAUGAAUGGCUCCUCAUGAUCAUUAGUGAAUAUUUAAUUAAAGAUUAUUGCCAAAGCAAACUAAGGAAUAGUUAAUAAAAUUGAUGAACUUGUGUAGCUAAUUAAGAUUAUUUGGUCAAUAUAGAAACAAAACAAAUUUGAUUUGGUUUGUUGCCUUCUCGCCUUCCCAAAUGAGAUCUCUACUACCCCAACUUCCUGACCUUUAAAGAAUGUUCCUCUUAUCUGUGAACAAAUUGUGUUGUUAAUUGGGUAAUUAAUUUUAAGUUUUAGACCUCCAUCCUUGCUUUAUUGAGGGGAAUUACUUUAAAAAGGAAAAAUGUGUCCUGGCCCAGCAAUUAUCAAGGGAGUUGUCUUGGGGGAGGGUGAAGGUGAUUUUCCUGUCAAUCAACCUUUAAAAGCACUUAACAAGAGAUUUAGUAAGUCUCCUUUUUCCAGUGAUAAGCUGUCUAGCCAAUUCAUUCUUAGAAUUGAACUUUAGCUAAUUUAUCUACAUUUGCACAAUAAAAAUCAGUGUCACUUCAGAUCCUCCUUGAUGUAGGUUCCAUCUAGCACAAUGGAAACAAUACACUCCAAAAAAGUAGUGAAGGGUUGUUUCAAAUUUGUAUUUGUGUGUGUGCACGCGGCCUAGGUGUAAUUAUCAGGUUAGUGUUGGGUCAGUGGCUAAUGUCCAUGUGAGUGCUGAGUGCCACAGGGAAGAACUCUUUGGUUACAAAGUUGAACAGCUGUUUAGUUCUGAAGGAUGCUUGUCUUAUGGUGGAUAUCAGUCCUUGGGAAUGUAGAGUAAAAUGGUCUUUUGAUAUGACAUUACAGAUUUCUGGGGGAAAAUCAAAACUUCUUUUUUUGGUUUUCAUUUAUAUGGUCAAGAGUAACAUCUUACCAAAAAGAAAAGAAUAAGAAAGAAAAAAGAAUAGGGUGUUAGGACCCAAGACUUCAUUGCUAGGUAAGCACUGUUCCAUUAAGCUGCACCCCCAGCCUCUUAGAAUUCACUUUUGAAAGCUAAAAGACACAGAAUUCACAUUGAUCACCAGCAGUGUUUCCCAAUUACAGCCAAUGGUCCGGAGUUUAUCUUUUUAUAUGGAAGACAGACAGAGACAGUUUUAAGAAAAGUCUCUUUGAUUUGUGUGCCUUGUGUGAUUCUCAACAAGGAGUGAUUCUGUAGCCCAGGGGCCUAUUAGCAAUAUGUGGAGACAUUUUUGAUUGUUAUGAUUGAGGGGUGCUGUUGACAUCUAAUGGAUGGAAGCUAGAGAUGCUGCUAAAAAUCCUACAAUUCACAGUAAAGUCUGUUACAACACAGAAUUUUCCAUUCCCGUGUUUAGGUUGAGAAACUCUGAAGGCUUGGUUUAAAUUUGUGAAGCAUUCUUCCUGUACCAUGUCCAGAAGUGAUGAGAUAAAAUAGAACAAUAAUAGUUACCAACUUAAAUGUAUAUAGGAUUUAUUUAAAGUUAGAUACAAUUACCCAUUUUUAUCGACAUGAAAGGUAAGAGUUAUAGAGAAAAAUGCAUAACCUCCCCUAGCAUUCUGAUAGUGAUGAGGCAGGCCCAUAGUUUAGAGUCGCUUCUACUUCAAUUUCUAUGCCUCAGAAAAAUUAUAGUUCAUUGAUGUCGUCAAACUUGUAAAAGCUAAAUUGUCUGCAAAGCUCUUUGGGAGGCUUUUUAGUUUUCAUGACUAUGUUGCACAUGUUUUUCUGAGUGAUCAAUAAUAGACAACAAGGUUUCACAGACAUGAAACCAGUAAGGGGAGAAAGUUUUUAGAAUGGGCCAAUGUUUUCUUCUUUAACUGCUCAUCAUACACUUUAUUUCUUUGGGCUAAGUACCCACUCAUUAAAGAUGGCAUGUAGAUUAUGGAAAAUAUCCUCGCUAGAUCCACACAGGAUCUCACUUCCUGUUUUCAAGAACAUAGUAAGUCUAAGCACAGGCCCUGGGUACAGGGCUUAUUAUGAUAUGUGCAUAAACUACUUCAUUAGGGCAUAAAACACAUAUGUGGUCUCAAAAAAUUUGACAUUUUCCCUUUAAUUUAGCAUACCAAUAUCACAAGUGAUAAAAUAAAGAUCAGAUCACUUCCCAUUGGAAAACCAAGGGCAAGAGAAUUUAAAUUAGUCAUUCAUUUAUUUAUUUAUGCAUGCAUUCAGGAAAUAUUUGUUGAAUGCAUACCAAGUACAGAUCACUAUAAUGAACGUUAUAAUAGACUAGAGAAUCAAAUGUGGAAUAAAGAGCUUGAAUUCAAAUCCCUGAAACCCUAGACUAAUUUAUUUUUCUAUGUAGUUCUGAUCAACAUGCUAGAAUUAUUGUUUAAAUAUCAAAUUAUAAAUAAUAUAUAUUAAGGAUUUAUUAUAAUGUGCCCAAAACUCCAAGGGCUUUACAUACUUUAUCUCAUUUAAUCCUGUAAUAACCCAGUGAAAUAGGCCUUGUCACUAUCCUCUUUCUUACAAAUGAGGUCUGUGAGGCUCAGAAACAGAAAGUAGCAAAAGCCCAUAGCUCAACAGUGGCAGGGCUGAUUUUCAUUUGAUGUGUUGAACUCCAAAGGCUGAUGACUUACCCAUCUCAUAACCUCUGCUCUUUGUUCUCUGGACUUUGUCUGUUACUUAUCUCUUCUACUCUAACCAACUGGAGGCCAGGAUGAUCCUAGCCUGACAUGUUUCCUGAAAGUCAUUAGUUAAUUUAAAUUGAAUAUACAACUAGACAUGUGUCUUCCAAGAAGACAAAGAUUUGGAAGGGUAGUUUUUCUGCCAUGGGCUGUAAUUUAUGCCACAAACAUUAUAUGGAGCCUUAAUGUUCCAGAACAAAUACCUGGUAAGUAUUGAUCCAUUCUGAAACCCCAAGUGGCAGACUAGCUCCCACCCAGGAGGAUUCUACCCAUGACUGUGUGCUGUGCUGCAUUUAGGUCACCCGGGGAAGUUUCAGAAGUAAAAUAGGUGUGUGAGCGUAGAUAAGUGUAUUCAUACAUAUAUGUAUUUACAUGUCUUCUAGUUUCACCUUUGACUUUAAAACCUUUUUGUAAAAUUCAAAUCAGCUCAGAAAUCCAAAAGAAUUGUGUGUUCCCCCAACAUCUCAUUGUUACUGCUGUAGGUUGGGGGAAAGAGGCAGCUGCAGAAAAGGAGCUGCACUGACAUAGAUGAGAGAGUGUGAGUACGCGUGUGUGUGUUGAUGUGUUCUGUGUUUGUGUAUAAAGCUACAUAUAUAUGUAUAUAUGUGUUUACAUUUAUCUAAAUGUAUAUAUAUAAAUAUAUAUCUACUAUAUAUAUGUAUACACACAUGAAACUCAUAGUUUGAAACUCUUUGGAAUUUUGAGUUUGGGAAAAUUAUUACAAUUUAUAUUUGGUUUCCUAGAAAGUCUACUAUAUUUCUGAUUUCCAACAUUUUCUUCCACUAUGAAUGUAUAUAUUUAUUUGUAGUACAGAGAAUAUGAUUGGAAUACCUCGAUUUAACAUUAUUGGAUACAAAAGUUCAUUUCAAGAACUGUCAAACUUAUAAAACUGGCUUUCUUAUUAAACCAUUUGUUGGAAUUUCAAACUAUGUGUUUUCAAACUUGUUCAUUCCAAAAAAAAAAAAAAAUUAAAAAUCCAAAUGAACAGUGAUGAUUCUUUGGAACAAAAGAAAAAGAAAAUAUAGGUAUGGGUAGCACAAAACCAGUGAUUAUUGGCUUCAUGGUACAUAUUGGAUAAUCCCCUGUCAUCUCCCACUUGUUUCUAUUUUAUCAUUCGUGGUGGUCUCUAUGGCUUACAUGAUGUAUAGGUGGAGCUAAUUGUUUAAUUAUUUUGAAGCUAUGGUAGAUAAUUUAUAAUAUGCAUAUUGUAAAUAGAUACUAAAGCUCAAGGGCACAUUGUAUUAAUAACCAAACACUCUCUAGUCUUCUGCAAAGAAGUCUUUCAGCCUGUUUAUACAAAUACCAAAAUAGUUGCUCAAAGAAGGAAAUGAAAUAAAAUGUUAUUUAUUUUGGCAUUCUAUACAUAUCACAACCAAAUGACUGAAUUUUGGGCACUCCUACAAAUACAGUAAGUUAUGGUCUCGUUUAUAGCCAUGGGCUUUGCCUCUUACUGGAAAAUAUGAAAAGUGUUUAAGUCAACCUAUGCAAACAGAAUUUCCCCGUUGCUCCUCGGGAUCUAUUUGUAUGUGAACAAGUCUAUCCCUUCAGAAACAUAUGGUUCCCAGGCCAGGCCUGGGAAGUUGAGAUACCAGGCACAGACUCCUCCUCUGACACACCUAAAGUACCUGUGAAUGAAGCAAAUAUAGUCAUUCAUUUUUUUCCCUAUAAGUCCCUUGAAGAUUGAUCUUAAAAGCAUUAGGAAAAAGUUCUUUUAUAUUAUAAAUAUUCUAAUUAUUUAAAUAUUUAUAUAUUUAAAUAUUCUAAUUAGGAUUAGGAACACUUAAAGGAAUGAUUAUUUUUCUCCAAAAGUUUGGAACAGAAGGAGAUUUUACAUCAUCCUGGCUUCAAGUUUCCUUGCCAUUUUUCUUUGUUUAUUUUUAAUUUCAAAGGAGAAUGUUGAAUCAGGAGAAUUUUUCUUAAGACACUCUGCUUAAUUAUUUUUUUUAAUCAUGAGGAGUGGGGAAGUGGGAGUGCCAGAACUCAUGACCUUGUUUCUGUUCUAAAAAAUAGAUUCAUAAAUUGCUGAAAAAAUAUACUACUUAAGAUACACAGAAACACCAAUUUAGGGAAGCUGCAUUUCAGAGCCCAGUGAAAGUUGUUAAUGGAAUCUGCUUUAUGUGGGUCACUCCUUAGAUUGGUCAUAGUGUUCAGCUUAGUCUGCAAAAUAAAGAAUCUUUCUGUUGGCUGAAGGAACUUAAAUAAAAAUCUUAGUUAAAUUCAUGUUUCCUACAUCUUUUAUAACCAGGACAGUACUGGGUAGAACCUAAAAAACAAAAUAAUUUAUACAAGUUAAAUUGACAUGUUUAAAUAAUAUCAGCACGACCCUUGACACUUACAAAAUUAAGGACCCUGUUGAUUAGAUUACCUGGAGAUCUUCAAAUAUAUUUUACCUGGGAUUGUCAAGUUCUUCUUUCUGUCUCUGAUGCUUUGAAUGUGAUCCCAGCACAGACAGACAAGUCUGAAUUUUGCUGGAACUUACAAUGGCAAUUUAUUAGGGCCUUGCUCAUGUUACUUUUUCCUGACCUGAAUCAAGCACUUGAUGACUUGGGUCAGUUUCUUGCACAUUGAUGUAUACCAAGUGACACCCAUUGAAAUUACCUCUUCUCUUUUCCAGUGCAGUUUGCUUGUACAUAAGUGUAAUGUCAAAUUGUUUACAGGUUCUUUUUGUGUGUAUUUGUGAUAGCCGAUUUAGCUCAAACUUUAAAGGAAUCUGUUUACUGAAUGGUGUUAAAAUGGAUGUGCUUAUUACAGUAUAAACAUCAUUAAUUAUGGACUCACAUGAAUGCAUGUCUACAUGUCAUCAAUUUCCAACAGCUUGGUUAUUCAGCAAAAGUCUGUGGUCUGUGAAUAGCAAAUAUACAUAAACUACUGUGACUCUAAUAACUCAAUAACUGUUUUACCUUGGUAUGUAACACUGUAGAUCUCAGCCUGCUGUAUUUUUUUCUUACCUAUGUGUUUUUGUUAGACAAACAUGCUAAAAAAUAGUGAUACUAAUGUCCCAGUGGAAUUGCACACUAUUUUGGCAAUUAUUGGUCCACUCAAAAGGCAACUGCCUAUAGAUGGAACAACAGCCCUGAGCAACAUAUAAAUAUAUACAUACAUAUGUAUGCAAUAUCUACAAUGCUAAUUACUACCAUCUAUUCUCACUGCCAAUGGAAACAAACUACUAUUUUCUUUGAAAUCACUGAUAGAUACAAAAUUUAUUUGCUAUUAACUGCUUUCAUAUUCUGUUUAGUUCUUAUAGUAUGGUAGAUGAUACAGGUGCAGUAUCAGUAUUGUAAAAUUGUAUGGUGAAAACUAAAAAAGUCAUUCUGUGGAUAUAUUUUAAAAGGCAGAACAGAAACUAUAUUUCAGAUUCUUGUGUGAAAAUAAUUACAGAAAUAGGUAACUAUUUUUUAUGUGUUUCCAUAAAUGACUCCAUUUCAUAUACAUUGUAAUUUAGCACCAAUCAUAAUAAAUCAUUUCAUAACAUUUAGUUGUUAUAUAUAUUUUCAGAAUAUAUGAGAAUGAUGAUUCAACAUUAUUUCAUGUGAAUUUAAGAAUUUUACAUAAAAGAUAAUUGCUGUUGCAAUUAGCUUGUUUCCAGUUUGGUGUGGGAACUUGCUGAUUUGGGCUACAAAAAAAGAGAAAGCUUAGUAAGUUGAUUAUUUAAUAUAUUUAGAAUGAAACUGCAAUGGAUGGAUGCCUUUCUUGCCCCUGCCUCUUGUUAAUUGUGUGUUGCACUAUUUGCUUAUUUAUUAUUUAUCAAACCUCUUUAAACUCUAGUUUCCUCAUCUAUAAAUAAGAGAUAAAAAAUAAUAGAUCAUAAGAUUCCUGUAAGAAUUAAAUUAGAUAAUCCAAGAAAAGCAUUUUUCAGUGUCUAACACGUUAAAAAGAUGCUUAAUAAUGCCUAUUUAUUUUCAUUACUAUUACUCAAAUAUUCAAAUUUUAGAGUUUGGCUUUAACACAUAAAAUAUAUGUAUGUAUAUAUAUGUAUAUAUAUGUAUAUAUAUUUUUUCUCUUUAGUAUUUCUACUUGUUAUGCUUUUUAAUCAGAGGAGGAGAUUACAAAGAGAAAAAGAAUUCUUGAACUUGUAGGAGUUCUAGAAAUAAUUUGGACUUUUGGUAAUGUGAAGUGUGUUUAUUAGAACUCUUCUCCCAUGAUGUGCACUCAAAAUAUGGAAGGAAUGGGAUGAUGUACAGUUUGAGGAAUAUAACCUCUUUACACAAACCACCUUUUAAUUUUUAAAUGCUCUUUAUAUUUAAAGUCCUAGAUGUUUUGCAGAAAAGGAAAUUGCAAACUUCAUUUUCUCAGAAUUUCCCAGACUUCUCUCACCAAGGAGACUUACAGUUUGGGUUGGGAAGUGCUGAUCUAGCCAGUCUUUUCCUUUUACAGGAGGGAAAAGCUGAGGCCCAGAUAGGGGAGGGUGUGUUAAAGGUGUGGAGGUCCUGGGCUUAUAACCUCACCUAUGGAAUCAGGCAAGGGUACUCUGUCAUAAAUUACUCUCAUGUAAAUGGCUGGCAAGAGUAACAAGGUUGUUCUGAAAACUACUUCUAAAGUUACAGCAUCUGCUUUGCUCAGAUCCAGAGUAGAGUCAAAUGAAGUACUGAAAGCCAGGCAGGUGAAAGGUGAGAAUAAAUGUGCAGUAAUAUUUUAGAGUCAGUCACUGCUGAGAUUGCUGAUUUUCAGAUAUUGUCAUCACUGUGAAACCGAUAUUGGACCACACUGAACUUCAGCCCACUAGAAUGAUAAGCUCUUACAUAUACCAAAGUGGUGAAGGCAUUUGGAGAGGAAUUUUCCUAUGAAUUCUUAUGUGGGAAGCUAUGGGCUUUCUUCUGAAAAACAUAGGGAAAAGCCCCUGUGUCAAGAAAUUGUGAAGUUAAUGACCCACAACACUCUAAAAAUUGUUUAAGUAGAGCCAUAACUUCCUUAGAUUUAGGUUACAGAGAAAGACAGAGCCACCAUUCCUAAAGGAUACAGACAAGCAUUUACAUAAGGAGGAAAUGUUGGAUAUCAAUUUAACUGACUGUAGCCUUAAAGGAAGAGAAACAGCACGUAAUUUGUCACCAUUUUUCUGCCAACUACAGAAGCUAUUUUGUUCACAAAUCAAGAGUUCUAAGAAUAUUAUUGAGUCACUAGAGAGUGAUAUGAGUGGUGAGAAUACAAAGUUGUUCUCUUGACUUACCUGGGAGACUGGAAGAAAAAGAGGGAAUGUGGGGAAUCCAGCCAGGAAUAUACAGUACUGGUGGUGGACCAGGAGACUCUCUGCUUCUGCUCAGUGGAGAUAUUUGGGUGGACGAUUUUCUCAUUCACCUCAGCACUGUAGGUGCUACACAUAGCCACCGUCCAAAAACUCAUUCUUCUGAUAUAUUGAGUUGAGCAGAACUUGAUCAGAAAGAUCAUAGCUUGUGGAAUGAGGUCAGUAAAAUAGGCAAAACACCACCCCCUCAGACCAUAGUUCAUCUCCCCUCCAAUUUUAAUCCAAAGGCAGAGUUCCUUCCUAUGCCUACAAAGCACUCUGAGCUCCAUCAAUCUCUCCCCACCCUCCGUGGUAGCUGCCACUGAAAGUGGUCCUGAUAGGUGUUUAUCCCAAUAGGGGGGCAGCUAAAUCUCCUGGCCAGGCAGAACAGCAGUAUCUUUAAAUAAACCAACUUCACUUUUUAAGCCUUAAAAAUAACAAUGUGUCAGCAGCAAAGGCCCAGACAGGCAGGUUUUUCAAAUGCUCCAAAUGCCAGAGAGCUCCAAGGGGCUCCCAUGAGGCCAUUUCUUGUUCUUGCAAUCAUGUCAUGAAAGCACCAAGGACAAAGUCUGGGGAUGCAAUGCAUCCUUGAUUUUUCUCUUUCCUGUGAUCCACUGCAAGCCCAAUUAGGGUAAAGAGAAGAAAAACACUCUGCAUGCCUUGAAGGCGCCUAGUACAUUGAAAUGGAAUUGCUGUUCUCUGUAAUUAGGUCUGAGUUCACAAGUACUGUCCAGAUCAACCUACUCCUUGGUGGGUAUGAAGCAACUUGACAGCACCUAGACAUAUAAUCACAAAGCCACCUGCACGUUGUGAUACAAGAAAUCAUUUCUUCUCUCCAUUCCCUUGGACUCUCCACUUCUAUCUGUGCACUUCAGCUUCUUCUUUUUUUUUUUUUUUAAUUCUGUUUGCUCUUCCUGCAUCUAGAGUAUAGAGUUUAAUAAAUCACAGCAUCGCUUAUUUGAUCCUCCCAAACAAACAUACUCUCCUCUCUGGGUCUCAGUUUCCUCAUCUGAUUUGUAAAUGAAAACUUGGAAAGAGAUUACUUUUGCACAAUUUUGCUAUCUUUUUUUUAAUAUGAAUUUUUUACCUAGGCUUUGGCUGGUCUCCUACUUGUCAGAAGGGCUGGGGUGGGGUUUGAGGUUUGGUGAUUCUCACAAGUUAACCAGUUCAGAUUGCCUUUCUCUGAGGUCUAUCAUAUAAAAUGAAGGGCAAAAAGAAAGUGAGCAGGAUGCUGGUAGAUUGUAGACUUAAAAUAUAUUCUACCACAGUUAUUGUGAAUGAGUGUGCUGUCCUUGCUGCUCUAUCUGUGGGAGUGAAGUGGACACACAAGCCCUUCUGCUGCUAUUUUCUAUACAUGUGCAAACUGAUUGACUCAUUUUCCAUAUUAUCUAGAGCUCUAUUUUUUGUUUUAGCAAGUGCAGCAUGAGUUAACAUCUUUAACAUAGAUAGAAGGGACAUAAUUGAAAAGGAUGGAGAAGUAGUAAAUUUAUGGAGUUGGACAUGAAAAGUGCCACAAGGGGCAGCAAUUGUUCUUCCUCCUCUUGCCCUCAGAAGAACGGCCUUAAGCACCCAAAAAUAAUAAGGUAUCUGCUUAAAAAUAAAGAAAAAGGAGAUGAAUGCCCUACUCUCUCUGCCCCUGAUAUUAGCAAACAUAGGAGAGUAUCAGGAAGGAGAGAGAUGUUAGAAACAACCAGGUCUGCACACCUGAAGCAUAAGAGAUUUUUGCCUGCUAGAGUAAAUGAAUCGCAUGGUAAUUACCUUGAUCCACUCUUUAGAGAGCUGCUACUUGAAGAUCCCUUUGGAAAACCCAGAAUUUCUGCUCACAAUGGAAUGAAGUGCACAAUGCCUUCUGGUACUUAGAGUUUACAUGAGUAUGCUUGUUCAUAAAUCUAAAAUUUUGAAAACUGAUGCAAAAGUUUGACAUUUGGAAAUGAUUGUAUUAUACUUCCCAUAACAUAACUUGUCAUGGCUCUGUACAGCUACUAAAUAUCUUGCUUUGAUAUUUCUGAUGCUUUGAGAAAAUGGUGGAAAUCGAGC